rnacentral:rRNA from 1 species
CCUACGGGGUGCAGCAGUAGGGAAUAUUGCUCAAUGGGGGCAACCCUGAAGCAGCAACGCCGCGUGGAGGAUGAAGGUUUUCGGAUUGUAAACUUCUUUUGUCAGAGAAGAUAAUGACGGUGUUUAACGAAUAAUCACCGGCUAACUCCGUGCCAGCAGCCGCGGUAAUACGGAGGGUGCAAGCGUUACUCGGCAUCAUUGGGGGGAAAGAGAGGGUAGGCGGGAUAGCAAGUCAGAUGUGAAAUCGUAUGGCUUAACCAUAGUACUGCAUUUGAAACUGUUAUUCUAGAGUAUGGGAGAGGUAGGGGGAAUUCUUGGUGUAGGGGUAAAAUCCGUAGAGAUCAAGAGGAAUACUCAUUGCGAAGGCGAACUGCUAGAACAUAACUGACGCUGAUGCGCGAAAGCGUGGGGAGCAAACAGGAUUAGAUACCCCGGUAGUC